GAUGAACGCUGGCGGCGUGCCUAAUACAUGCAAGUCGAGCGAACGGACGAGAAGCUUGCUUUUCUGAUGUUAGCGGCGGACGGGUGAGUAACACGUGGAUAACCUACCUAUAAGACUGGGAUAACUUCGGGAAACCGGAGCUAAUACCGGAUAAUAUUUUGAACCGCAUGGUUCAAAAGUGAAAGACGGUCUUGCUGUCACUUAUAGAUGGAUCCGCGCUGCAUUAGCUAGUUGGUAAGGUAACGGCUUACCAAGGCAACGAUGCAUAGCCGACCUGAGAGGGUGAUCGGCCACACUGGAACUGAGACACGGUCCAGACUCCUACGGGAGGCAGCAGUAGGGAAUCUUCCGCAAUGGGCGAAAGACUGACGGAGCAACGACGCGUGAGUGAUGAAGGUCUUCGGAUCGUAAAACUCUGUUAUUAGGGAAGAACAUAUGUGUAAGUAACUGUGCACAUCUUGACGGUACCUAAUCAGAAAGCCACGGCUAACUACGUG
rnacentral:rRNA from 1 species